rnacentral:lncRNA from 12 species
CCCUGUGACUGGAGACCCAGCCCUUCCUCUCCUGUUGACAGAAUGGAGUCUUCCUUAUGCUGAUGAAUGAAGUGACCCUUAAUAAGAUGCAACCAGGCCAGAAAAAGCCAAAUGAGAAAGUUGGCAGCAUUAUCCUGGUCCAAGCGAGUUCUGGUAGUCUAUUUAGACCUGGCCUUGGUAUUUCUGGUUCACUUAGCGGGUGCACCUUUCAGCUGCAAGGAAGGAAGAGAAUAAAGAUGUCAUCAAUAAUAUUCCUACAGAGCGUCCAAGUCAACCAAGUUCUCCUAGUGUGGGAGGCAGUAAUUUGUUCCCUGAUAUAUGGGGAUUGCUUUUCUUCGGUAGCUGAGACCCAAUCAGUCUUCAGAGGUGGUUGUAAUUAAUAGGGAGGACGUGUGAAUUGAAGGAAAGAUACUUGGAGACCGUCCUGCUGACAUCACUUCCCUUCUCAGUGACGAAGAAGACAAAGUCGUCUACAGAUGUGGGUGAGUCAGUAACAGAGAUAAGGUCCUGUGGAGAGAGCUGUGAACAGCCAGAGGAGAAAAAGGCCACUCACACUAAUUGGUGGAAGAGAUCUUGAAAUACUUAGAGAAUAUCAGAGUAUAUUAGAUUACGUAUUAA